UCCUGGCUCAGGAUGAACGCUGGCGGCGUGCUUAACACAUGCAAGUCGAGCGAAGAUAUAUAAGGAAUAACUUCGGUUAGGAAAGAUAUAGCUUAGCGGCGGACGGGUGCGUAACACGUGGGUAAUCUGCCCUUAUCAUCGGGAUAACAGUUGGAAACGACUGCUAAUACCGAAUAACAUAUAGCCUAGGCAUCUAGGAAAUAUCAAAGGAGACGGAUAAGGAUGAGCCUGCGUCUGAUUAGCUAGUUGGUGGGGUAAGAGCCUACCAAGGCGACGAUCAGUAGCCGACCUGAGAGGGUGAUCGGCCACAUUGGAACUGAGACACGGUCCAAACUCCUACGGGAGGCAGCAGUGGGGAAUAUUGCACAAUGGAGGAAACUCUGAUGCAGCAACGCCGCGUGAGUGAAGAAGGUCUUCGGAUCGUAAAACUCUGUCGUAUGAGAAGAUAGUGACGGUAUCAUAUGAGGAAGCCCCGGCUAACUACGUGCC
rnacentral:rRNA from 1 species